AGUGAACGCUGGCGGCAGGCCUAACACAUGCAAGUCGAACGGCAGCACAGGGGAGCUUGCUCCCUGGGUGGCGAGUGGCGGACGGGUGAGGAAUGCAUCGGAAUCUGCCCAGUCGUGGGGGAUAACGUAGGGAAACUUACGCUAAUACCGCAUGCGACCUGAGGGUGAAAGUGGGGGCUCGCAAGACCUCACGCGAUUGGAUGAGCCGAUGCCGGAUUAGCUAGUUGGCGGGGUAAAGGCCCACCAAGGCGACGAUCCGUAGCUGGUCUGAGAGGAUGAUCAGCCACACUGGGACUGAGACACGGCCCAG
rnacentral:rRNA from 1 species